UACGGGGGGGGCAAGCGUUGUUCGGAAUUACUGGGCGUAAAGGGCUCGUAGGCGGCCAACUAAGUCAGACGUGAAAUCCCUCGGCUUAACCGGGGAACUGCAUCUGAUACUGGAUGGCUUGAGUUCGGGAGAGGGAUGCGGAAUUCCAGGUGUAGCGGUGAAAUGCGUAGAUAUCGGGAGGAACACCAGUGGCGAAGGCGGCUAUCUGGGCUUUAACUGACGCUGAGGCGCGAAGGCUAGGGGAGCAAACAGG
rnacentral:rRNA from 1 species